UACGUAGGGGGCAAGCGUUGUCCGGAAUCAUUGGGCGUAAAGCGCGUGUAGGCGGUCCGGUAAGUCGGUUGUGAAAGUCCAGGGCUCAACCCUGGGAUGCCGACCGAUACUGUCGGACUAGAGUUCGGAAGAGGCGAGUGGAAUUCCCGGUGUAGCGGUGAAAUGCGCAGAUAUCGGGAGGAACACCAAUGGCGAAGGCAGCUCGCUGGGACGUUACUGACGCUGAGACGCGAAAGCGUGGGUAGCAAACAGG
rnacentral:rRNA from 1 species